CUUGAUGAUGAAUGUAUUAUAAAUGA
rnacentral:piRNA from 1 species